AGCCCAACAACUAGCCCCACCCCACCCAAACACAACACCCCCCUAUAAAUACCCCCUCACAGUCUUAACCAUAAAGAUCUAAACCAUUCUUCCCCCUUAGUAUAGGAGAUAGAAAAGGAACAGUGGCGCCAUAAAAAAAGUACCGCAAGGGAAAGCUGAAAUAGAAAUGAAAAAACCCAGUCCCGAAGCCCAAGAAAGCAAAGAUUAAUCCUUGUACCUUUUGCAUCAUGAUUUAGCUAGCAUAAUUGAGCGAAAAGAAUUUUAGUUCAAGCCCCCGAAACCAGACGAGCUACUCCAGGACAGCCAACAAUUGGGCAAACCCGUCUCUGUGGCAAAAGAGUGGGAAGAGCCUAGAGUAGAGGUGAAAAGCCUAUCGAGUCUAGUUAUAGCUGGUUGCCUAAGAAAUGGAUUUAAGUUCAGCCUCCUGGCUUCUACAUUCAAACCAUACACAUCAAGAACCCAAGAAACCAGGGGAGUUAGUCAAAGGGGGUUCAGCCCCUUUGACAAAGGACACAACCUUACCAGUAGGAAAAAGAUCAUAUUCCCUAAGGAAACCCUGCUUAAGUGGGCCUAAAAGCAGCCAUCUUAAAAGAAAGCGUUAUAGCUCAACACCCCUUUCCCCACAAAUUACGAUAAUACCAUCUUUAUCCCCUAACAAUAAAAGGCCAUUCCACCCCGUGGAAGAAACCAUGCUAAUAUGAGUAAUAAGAGACUACCAAGGCUCUCUCCCGGCACAAGCGUGAAUCGAAACGAACCCCCAUCGAUCAUUAACGACCCCAAACUAAAAGAGGGUAAUGAACAAAACCCAAAACCCUAGAAAAAAGUUCAACACAUCCCCGUCAACCCCACACAGGAGUGCCAUUAAUGGAAAGACUAAAAAAGAAGGAAGGAACUCGGCAAACAAAUCCACCUAAAGCCUCGCCUGUUUACCAAAAACAUCGCCUCUUGCUAACCCAGAAUAAGAGGUCCCACCUGCCCAGUGACUAUAAGUUUAACGGCCGCGGUAUUUUGACCGUGCAAAGGUAGCACAAUCACUUGUCCUUUAAAUGGGGACCUGUAUGAAUGGUAUGACGAAGGCUAAGCUGUCUCCCCUCUUAAGUCAAUGAAAUUGAUCUCCCCGUGCAGAAGCGGGGAUACAAACAUAAGACGAGAAGACCCUAUGGAGCUUUAGACACCAGAACAGACCACGUUAAAAACCCCUAACACACAGAAGAAACUAAAUGGAUGACUGUUCAAAUGUCUUUGGUUGGGGCGACCACGGAGCAUCAAAAAACCCCCGCGUGGAACAGAAACACACACCGUUUCUGAGAUUAAGAGCCCCCACUCAAAGUCCCAGAAUAUCUGACCAACAAUGAUCCGGCAACGCCGAACGACGGACCCAGUUACCCUAGGGAUAACAGCGCAAUCCUCUUCCAGAGUCCAUAUCGACAAGAGGGUUUACGACCUCGAUGUUGGAUCAGGGCAUCCUAAUGGUGCAGCCGCUAUUAAGGGUUCGUUUGUUCAACGAUUAAAGCCCUACGUGAUCUGAGUUCAGACCGGAGUAAUCCAGGUCAGUUUCUAUCUAUGACCCACCCCCUUCCAGUACGAAAGGACCGAAGCGAGGAGGCCCAUGGCAAAGCUAAGCCUCAUCCUCUUCUUAUGAAACCAAAUAAAUAAGAUAAGGGGAAGACCCCCCCCACCGCCCAGAACAGGACAU
rnacentral:rRNA from 1 species